GCCUGGGUGGCUGAGUCAGUUAAGCAUUUGACUUCAACUCAGGUCAUGAUCUCAUGGCUUGUGAGUUCGAGUCCCGCGUCGGGCU
rnacentral:tRNA from 1 species